CUACGUGCCAGCAGCCGCGGUAAUACGGAAGGUCCGGGCGUUAUCCGGAUUUAUUGGGUUUAAAGGGAGCGUAGGCUGGAGAUUAAGUGUGUUGUGAAAUGUAGACGCUCAACGUCUGACUUGCAGCGCAUACUGGUUUCCUUGAGUACGCACAGCGUUGGCGGAAUUCGUCGUGUAGCGGUGAAAUGCUUAGAUAUGACGAAGAACUCCGAUUGCGAAGGCAGCUGACGGGAGCGCAACUGACGCUUAAGCUCGAAGGUGCGGGUAUCAAACAGGAUUAGAUACCCUGGUAGUCCGCACAGUAAACGAUGGAUGCCCGCUGUUGGUACCUGGUAUCAGCGGCUAAGCGAAAGCAUUAAGCAUCCCACCUGGGGAGUACGCCGGCAACGGUGAAACUCAAAGGAAUUGACGGGGGCCCGCACAAGCGGAGGAACAUGUGGUUUAAUUCGAUGAUACGCGAGGAACCUUACCCGGGCU
rnacentral:rRNA from 1 species